UGAAAUCUGGGUCAUGAUGGCCAUUCAAUAGUCAGGCUUGCUGUGCACGUCCAGAGCUUCAGGACAGCUAUUGGCCUGCAGCCCCUGAGUUUCAGCAGGGACGCAGUAUGAUUUCUAAGCAUUUCCCAUAUUCUGGUCUUCCUGUUGCUCUUGGGAGCCUCUAAGCAGAAGAGUGGAAGGGGGAGCGAUCCAAAGAUGACUUCUAUCCCUAGUCACUUACCCCUACUGACUCACUCAUCUCCUGCUGGGAUUCUAAAGCCAGGAUAAGUGGGUUGCGAUACAGGGAGCUAAGGAAGGAAGGAUUCCAGGUGAGGAGGACUGAAGGAACUGAAGGCUACCAGAGAAAACCAGAAAAUCAACCUGCUACACCAUAACCUCGUAUCUCACUGGACUCUAAGGCAACUGAGUUGGAUCGAAAUAAACCUUUAUUUCCCUUAUAUUUAUUUAUAUUUAUUUAUUUCCCCUUUAUUUGCCAUCACUGCCACCCAUCUUCUCAAAACACACACACACACACACACACACACACACACACACACACGUGUACAUUCAUUGAAGACCAAGGCCCUGACUCAUAUCCUUUUUCUCCAUCUCUAAAUCUGCCAUUACUUCCCUUAGAUC
rnacentral:lncRNA from 1 species